rnacentral:rRNA from 1 species
UACGUAGGGGGCGAGCGUUGUCCGGAUUUAUUGGGCGUAAAGAGCGUGUAGGCGGCCAGAAAAGUCCGCUGUGAAAACUCGAGGCUCAACUUCGAGCUGUCGGUGGAAACUUUCUGGCUAGAGUCCGGAAGAGGAGAAUGGAAUUCCUGGUGUAGCGGUGAAAUGCGCAGAUAUCAGGAAGAACACCCGUGGCGAAGGCGGUUCUCUGGGACGGUACUGACGCUGAGACGCGAAAGCGUGGGGAGCGAACCGG